GCGCCUUGCGGGCCGCGUCGGCGGCCGGCAGCGCAGCCACCGGCUGCGCAUGACCGUUGAGCGCGCCGUUCGGCACGGCGCGCGUCGCG
rnacentral:tRNA from 1 species